rnacentral:rRNA from 1 species
GAGGAAUAUUGGUCAAUGGACGAGAGUCUGAACCAGCCAAAUCGCGUGAAGGAAGACUGCCCUACGGGUUGUAAACUUCUUUUGUACAGGAAUAAAAGACAUUACGUGUAAUGUAUUGCAUGUACUGUACGAAUAAGCAUCGGCUAACUCCGUGCCAGCAGCCGCGGUAAUACGGAGGAUGCGAGCGUUAUCCGGAUUUAUUGGGUUUAAAGGGUGCGCAGGCGGGAUUUUAAGUCAGCGGUGAAAUUUUCAGGCUCAACCUGAACACUGCCGUUGAAACUGGGAUUCUUGAGUAUGGGUGAAGUAGGCGGAAUUCGUUGUGUAGCGGUGACAUGCUUAGAUAUAACGAGGAACUCCGAUUGCGUAGGCAGCUUACUAAGCCAUAACUGACGCUCAAGCACGAAAGCGUGGGGAUCAAAC